UACGUAGGUGGCAAGCGUUGUCCGGAUUUACUGGGUAUAAAGGGCGUGUAGCCGGGUUGACAAGUCAGAUGUGAAAUCCUGCGGCUUAACCGCAGAACUGCAUUUGAAACUGUUGAUCUUGAGUACUGGAGAGGCAGACGGAAUUCCUAGUGUAGCGGUGAAAUGCGUAGAUAUUAGGAGGAACACCAGUGGCGAAGGCGGUCUGCUGGACAGCAACUGACGGUGAGGCGCGAAAGCGUGGGGAGCAAACAGG
rnacentral:rRNA from 1 species